GCCUCAGAGUGCAGACUGCUACCAGUACCAGUACCAGUACCACAGUGGCAGUGAGGUCAACUGGGGAAGCAGAGAGUACAAGAUUUACCCCAUGAAGCACUGAUUGUCACCACCAGAGGGCGCAACAGGCUGCCCAAAGAUGUAGACAGAGCCAGACUGGAGCGUCACCUGUCCCCAGAGGAGUUGGUGUGACAGUGGAGGAUUUUGACCGGCUGGCUCUGUGGAAGAGGAAUGAGCUAAAGAAACAGGCCCGACUCUUUUAGUAUUGUAUGGACAUCCGUGACUGUAGGAAGCAAAGAGAAAGGUAGGAAGACUUCCACUCAGUUUCACUGCCGUGGCCGAGAACCCGUUCUAGAUCUCCUCAUACGACCAACCAAAUUCCGGUCACACCAGCGGGGACUUCUGGGAAGCCGAGGGGGAGGCCGCAGACACGUUACGCACAGAUGGACUGACAAACUGUUACACGGUUGCCGGUGCAACUGUGGCCGUGUGCUGGAGUGGAGUGUAUGUGACAGAGACUGUAGUACACUAGUGUUGUGCUUUUCUUAAGCCUGAAGGACGGAGGAAGGCAUGACUGUGCCCGUAUAGGACCACACGAGGGGAUGUCUGUGACCAGAGCCGCAGUACUACAACACAUUGAGGAGAAUUUUGGCUUUGCCUUAUUUGUGAUGCUCUCUUAGUUAUGAGUGUGCAGCACCAGCAAUCUGAAUGAGUAGAAUGUAGAUACAGUAUAUCAUUUAUGACACUUUAUCAGUGUGAACGAUGACCUGAGAAGAAGGAGUGUGUGAGCAUACAGCAUCGCUUUGCUUUGGAUUCAAAGGGGGCAUUUUGUUCACCUAUUCCCCUGUAUUUGCGCUUUCACAUUGAAUACCGUGUCCCUCUGGUUUACACUAAUUGAUACAGAAACAAACACAAGGCGAUCUGAGGUGGACACAACUUUUUCAAAUGUACGUGUGACCUGCAUAGAUGUGUGUGAAAAUGAAAACCAAAGUGAGAAUGCAAAUAUACAGAUGAGCAGAUCGGUUCCAGAACGAAACUCUAAUCAUUUUGUAGCGACAGAGAUUAUAUUCACACACAACGAAAUGCUUUGCAAGGUAUUUGCCACACUGACAAAGAUCCAGGGUUGUUGAAGACUCUACUUCCUUUGAAUAC